UACGAAUUGAAUGCAAAAUAAAAUAGCACCAAUCACAAAUUCCAUAGAACCGAUAAGUUUUAGUUUUAUUAUAAAAUAAAAUUAUACUAAUUACAUUGAUUGUGAAUUUCAAAGUAUUUGAUUAAGCUUUUUAUCGGUAUUCACUCUCUCUCUUCAAUUAUAACCUACCAAAUCUAUUCCAUAGAAAUCACUCUUCCAUCUUCUCCAUUCACAGACUGUGGAUGAACUAGGGUUCCAUUGUAGGUUCUGAUUUCACCGACGGUGGCUUAAUGGCGAGGACGAAGAAUGCAACGACGAAAGGGUAUGCGGAGAAACAUAACCCAUUCUCACUUUUUCAUUUGCUGGAGAUUGUGAAGGCGCCGAUCUCAGGUUUUUUCAGAGACGUAAUGACGAAGACGAAGGGUGGUUUCGGAGGUUCGUAGCAGUGGGUUACUUGUUGUUUAUAGUUGUUUAAGAUUCGUAAUAGGGGUUUGUUUUUAUUGUGGAACCCAUCUUCAAUCUCUAAAAAUCUCUUAAGGUUCUUCGAUUUUUGUCAAUAAUCGGUUGAUUAGUUGUAGAAUUAGUUAGAUUUUUGAAAGUUCACAGUGUCUUUAAACGAUUGUAAAUUUCUUGAAUUGUUAUGAAAAAAUCGAUUCCCUACGUGAAGAAUAUGUUAGAUUUUUGUGGGGUUUUUGUGUAUA